rnacentral:rRNA from 1 species
UACAGAGGUCCCGAGCGUUGUUCGGAAUCACUGGGCGUAAAGCGCACGUAGGCGGAUUGUUAAGUCAGGGGUGAAAUCCUGGAGCUCAACUCCAGAACUGCCUUUGAUACUGGCGAUCUUGAGUCCGGGAGAGGUGAGUGGAACUGCGAGUGUAGAGGUGAAAUUCGUAGAUAUUCGCAAGAACACCAGUGGCGAAGGCGGCUCACUGGCCCGGUACUGACGCUGAGGUGCGAAAGCGUGGGGAGCAAACAGG